GUGCGGUUUGGUUGAAGCUCCCUGCGUGUGUCUAUAACUUUGUGUUGCUGCCGGUGGUUGUUAGGAGGAGGGAUGUGGAAGUCGGUGGUGAGCAGGGUGACAGGCUGCUCGGGCGGGCUGCGGCGGCGGACGGGCUGGGCGCGGGCGGAUCGCUUGCCUCUCACCGGCUGCGCGCAGGGGGAGCGGGCGCUCUGCCGUUUUCCCAUCCUUCGCCUUUAAAGGGAAGGCUCUCCCGAGCUGAAGGCGCAGGAGCAGCAGGAACCAUGCAGCAGCGCUGCUUCUUCCUCCCGUGAAUUCGGAUCUCGAUUGCUGCCGGUGUGGAGGUGGCUGUCGAUCCAGCACCCCCCCGCCGCCUCCCGCCCUCCCGAUGUGGCUUUCCCUGCCUCGUCUGCCUGCGCUUUCUAAAUGACUUAAGUGAAGGGGGAAAAAACUGUCAAGAUGGCAGCAGCAGGAGCAAGGAGGUUAUGAAUGUGGUGUUGAUGCUGGAACAAAACCUAUUCUCUUUGGCAGCCCUAGGGAGGGCUUAAAGCUACUGGACCUGUUGGAAGACUGGCGAUUUGAUUUGUUCCCGUUGUGUUUGCUUUUUCCCUGCAAGAAGGAGGAUUUAUCACUAUUUUUUUUUUAACCGACCAGCCCCCGGGGUGGCCUUCUCCUGCCCCCUGCUCCGUCGGCUGUGAGAUUUUGGGGGGUUGCUUGCGUGUGGCUUGGGGGCACUGCAAAGUGACAGGUUUACGCUAGUGUGCAGUUGGAUGUAUGCUAAGACUUCGGCUCCCUUUAGGGCGUUUUGAAGAAGGAAAAAGUCUUCGGCGUAACCCAGAGGAUCCCUCUCCCUGCCCUCCUGCCGACGGAGGGCGCAAAGGACCACCCCCCCCCUCCCGAAGGCAAGAUAUCCGCGGAAGCGGUGAGGAGCGAGCUCGGGGGCGUGGGGGGCUCGUCUCCCGGCUGGAUACAGCUCGGUUCUCGCUGGAGCUACUUCUGCAUCCGCAUGGAGUGAAACAUAAACAAACGCACACACGCACCGCGGGAGCGGCCGCCGCUCCGCCGGCGCGGAGAGCAGCGCCGCGGGCACCUCCGGCACCGCCCGACCCGCGCUGCCCGUCCUGCGCGGCCGCUCCGGCUCCUAAUCUGAUUUUUUUUUUUUUUUCCCUCCCUCCCUCCCCUUCUUCCCCCGCCUCCCAGCUCCGGCGUGCGCAUCGCCCGCGGGGAGCGGGGCUCCGGGCGCAGCGGAGAGCCGGCCAGCCCUUAGCGGAGCGCGGCAUGCCUGUCCGGCGGCCCCCUGCCUGCUAGGCUCCCGUGGGCACCGAGGAGGCGGCGGAGGAGGAGUGGGGUCGGCGGCCGCCCGCCCCGUCGCAGCGCCCCGCAGCCGCCCGCGGGGGAGGCCAAGAUGGCAGAGGCGUCGCCCCCCGCCCCGCUCUCGCCCCUGGACGUGGAGCUGGACCCCGAGUUCGAGCCGCAGAGCCGCCCCCGCUCCUGCACCUGGCCCCUGCAGAGGCCCGAGCUGCAGGCCAGCCCAGCCAAGCCCGCCGGCGAGCCGACCGCCGACGCCGCCUCCAUGAUCCCCGAGGAGGAGGACGACGAGGAGGAGGGGGGCGGCUCGGCCAUGACCGUCGGCAGCGCGGCUCCCGCGGGCGGAGAAGCGGCGGCGGUAGCGACCAUCGCCGUGCCGGAGGAGGCGGCGCGGCUGCUGGCCCCGCUGCCCGGCGGCGGCCCGGAGGGGCCGAGCCUCUCGCCGGGGGGAGCGGCGGCGGCAGGCGGCGGGGGGCUGAGCGGGGGCCCGGCGGCGGCGCCGAGGAAGUGCUCGUCGCGGCGCAACGCGUGGGGCAACCUCUCCUACGCCGACCUCAUCACCCGCGCCAUCGAGAGCUCGCCGGAGAAGCGCCUCACUCUCUCCCAGAUCUACGACUGGAUGGUCCGCUGCGUGCCCUACUUCAAGGACAAGGGCGACAGCAACAGCUCGGCCGGGUGGAAGAAUUCGAUCCGGCACAACUUGUCGCUCCACAGCCGAUUCGUCAGGGUACAGAAUGAAGGCACUGGGAAAAGCUCUUGGUGGAUGAUCAAUCCAGAUGGUGGAAAAGGCGGCAAGGCGCCCCGGAGACGUGCUGUGUCAAUGGACAACAGCAACAAGUACACCAAGAGCAGAGGGCGGGCGGCAAAGAAAAAGGCGGCUCUGCAGACCGCCCAGGAGACGAGUGAGGAGAGCCCUUCCCAGCUCUCCAAGUGGCCAGGGAGUCCCACCUCCCGCAGCAGCGAUGAGCUGGAUGCAUGGACAGAUUUUCGCUCCCGUACAAAUUCAAAUGCCAGUACGAUCAGUGGCCGCUUGUCACCAAUAUUGGCAAGCACUGAGCUCGAUGAUGUUCAAGAUGAUGAUGCUCCACUUUCUCCCAUGCUGUACAGUAGUCCUUCGAGCUUGUCCCCAUCAGUAAACAAACCAUGUACUGUGGAGUUGCCUAGGUUGACUGAUAUGGCUGGGACAAUGAACUUGAAUGAUGGACUGACAGAUAACCUCAUGGAUGAUCUCUUGGACAAUAUAACACUCCCUCCCUCCCAGCAGUCACCCACAGGAGGGAUAAUGCAGAGAAGCUCCAGUUUUCCUUAUGGUUCCAAAGGUUCAGGACUGGGCUCCCCAUCAAGUAGUUUCAACAACGCUGUGUUUGGGCCGUCAUCCCUGAAUUCCCUCCGCCAGUCACCCAUGCAGACAAUUCAGGAGAACAAGCAGGCCACUUUCUCUUCCAUUUCUCAUUACAACAAUCAGACGCUGCAGGAUCUUCUCACCUCUGAUGCACUUAGUCACAGCGAUGUCAUGAUGACACAGUCUGACCCACUCAUGUCACAAGCCAGCACAGCUGUGUCCGCCCACAAUUCCCGCCGGAAUAUAAUGCUCCGCAACGACCCCAUGAUGUCGUUUGCUGCGCAGUCCAGCCAGGGCGGUCUGGUCAAUCAGAACCUGUCCCAUCACCAGCACCAGUCCCACAACUCCUCUCUUAGUGGCAGCCGUGCCUUGUCCAAUUCCAUCAGUAACAUAGGCUUGAGUGACUCCAACAGCUUGGGAUCCACCAAACAUCAGCAGUCACCUGUCAAUCAGUCUAUGCAAACGCUUUCUGACCCGCUGUCAGGCUCCUCUUUGUACUCCUCUAGCGUGAACCUCCCGGUCAUGGGACAUGAGAAAUUCCCAAGUGACUUGGACCUGGAUAUUUUCAAUGGGAGCCUGGAGUGUGACAUGGAGUCCAUUAUCCGCAGUGAACUCAUGGAUGCCGAUGGGCUGGAUUUUAAUUUUGAUUCCCUCAUCUCAGCUCAGAACGUUGUCGGUCUGAAUGUGGGGAACUUCACUGGUGCUAAACAGGCUUCAUCACAGAGUUGGGUACCAGGCUGAAGGAUCUUUGAGAACAGGGAAAAUGGGCAAACAGGUGAAGGAUGGAAAGAAGGAGUCAGUGUCCUUUGACUUUACAGUGCAUAAUUUGCCCCUUUCAUCUUUAAUUGCAUUUUCAUUCACUGUUUCACAGUUAGAUGUUCAAGGGGAAGCCUUGUGGUAGGUGAGCAGCAGUGGUGAACCUCCAGAAUGUUUUCCUGUUUCCUGUGUGUAUGGAGCACCUUGGGAGACCUGCUGUUAUCUGCUAUCUGUGAGGGAGAACGAGGCUGCCCAGCCAUCCCUCUUCCAGUCAAUCUGCAAAACCGCUGUGCUCCGAUGGAGUGGUUGGUGUGCACACUCCUUUCUCUCAGUGGAAGCAUUUCCUCUGGUUCUUGCACAUCUUCUCACUCUUGGCAAGAGCACUGCAAUGCACAGGAAGGAGAUGGGCUGUAGAGGACUCUGCGUCCCACUGACCUGAGCAAGGUGGCAACUUGGCAAGGCCAGGGCCACAGAUGAAUUUUGAGGUUUUCUUCAGUUCCAGUACUGGAGAAUUUAGGAAGAUAAAGGGGGAAAAAAGAGAAUUGACUCAAGGAUGAGGAGGCAAAAAUUUGCAGAAGGUCAUGCUUGCUGACCAGUUCUCUCCUUCAGGUGCACGAGCUGCUUGGAUUUAAAAAACUUCUUUGCCUGAUGUAAAAAAAAAAGGCUGUAGGAACCUCAUUGCUGUGCAACAUCCAGCAGUACAAUCUGUCAAAUGGGGCCUGAAAAAUAGAUGUUAUUGACAGUUUUGCUUGACACAGGCAAAUAGGGCAGCCUCCAGCUUCCAUAGCUUUGCGUGCUGCGUGUAGGUAGCAGCCGCCGCAGGGGGACUUGUGUGGGCAGCAUGGAGGAGACACAGCAUCCCACCUCCUCACCGAUGUUCCCUGCUGCCUCUUCACCCCAGCCUCUGGCAUCCUCGGAAAGCAGAGCUGCCGUGAUCUUUUUCAGGCUGCUCCCUCUGAAUAAAGGAACUGACACAUCUGUGUGAGCAGAGUCUCAUUGCAGAGGACAGAUUUAUUAACGAGACAGCUCUCCUCGGCGGAUUACUGUCCAGUCAUCUGUGGAAGCCUCUCUCCCUCUCCCUGACAAGUGGACCGGCUGCUGCAGGGUGCCUCUGGUAUCAGGUGCAAAUGCAGAUGAUUUCUGCUGAGCUGGUUCAUCAUGCACCCUUCCUCAUCUGUUAAGCAGCGCUGUUUGAGAGUUUGCCUCCUUAUGAACAUCUCAUGUUUUGAGAGGGGCUUCUCGCAUGACAUCAGAUGCAAUUGUUCUGAAUUGCUUUUCUCGGUUACUUCUCCACUGUAGCAAUAAGGAUCCCUGAAUUAAAAUCUUCUCUCAACAAUGUUCAUGACCCCAGUAAUGAAUCUUUAUAAGCCCAAAGACUGGGGAACGCUUUUGGUGGAACAGCCUGGCACUUGCUUAUGCUAAAUCUGUUUCACAAAGGUGGCCAGGUGUGUUUUGUAGGCAGGCAGAAGCAGUUACAAUGGAUUACUGGCAUACCCAGGAAUAGUGAGUGCUUUGUUUUCUAUUAAAAAUAAGAGAAACAUUGGAGUCAGUUUUCAGGAAGAAAAGAAAGAAGGCAAAUACAUAGAUAUUUAAUUUAUACAUACUUAGGUAUGGAGGGAGGUUUAUUUUGGAAGAAAAUCAACUACAGUUUCUUCAUAGGGAAAUAAAAAAAUGGCUGCAGGGGAUGCCACUGUCGCAGGUUUAGUGGCUGUGCACGUUUGCUGCACACAAGCCUGUGCAUGGUCCCUGCAAAGAGCCCUGCCCAAUCCCACCCCACUAACCUGUGCCCACAAGGCUGCCCAUGCCCAACCUUUCAGAGGGACCUUAUUGAGGGGUGUAAAUGAAUUUGGGUUUGCUUUGGGUUUUUUUCUCUUACAAGAAGGAAUGGAAAAAAUCUUUUUUUUUUUCUUGCUUUAUUCACUCAGCCAUAACUUUUCCCGCUUAUACUGCCUGGGGCCUCUGUUCCUCUAUCUCUACCUGCUUUCCAAAAGCACUGGAUAAUGCCCUCCACCCACUCAUAAUCAUCACGUUGGCAUUUCAGUGGGUUUAUCAAUAAAUAAAGACAUCACUGUUCCCUCACCUGUCUCUAGAAUACCUUUUAUUUUGAAAUUAAUGGGUCCUUCUCUUGUGGGAUUCCCACAACUCUGCACUUUGCUCUGGGGUCCAUCUCACCUGGCAAGUCCAAAGGGACUUGGCUUUUGCUGAAGAGCCACCCCAAACCAGAGCAUCAGAGAAGACUAUUUGGGACAUUUGCUGUUGCCUGGAAGGUCAGGAGCUGGGGAACAGUUGCUGCACAGGCAAACAUUUUCUCCAGCAUCAAAACCCAUCCAAGAAGUUGCUUUUACCUGGAUUGUUUCAGUGAUCCAGUUUACAAUGGCAUAAUGCAGGCAGCAAUGCUGGCACGGUUGGGCAUGGGGUGGAGAAAGGCUCAGCACGAGCAAGGCAGGAACUUCUUGAGCUGGUGGCAUAGUCUGAAGAACUUAUCUAAGCUGCAUCUUCUGAAAGAGAUGUCGAUGUGUCGUUCAUCAGGGUGCCUCUGGGCUCUGUAACAGAGCUGGGCUGGACUCAUGUUGACUUGUUUGAAAAUUACAUGUAAAAUACUUGACAGAUCAGUUAAAGUCACUCAUUUUCCACUAGUAUCAUCUAGGUCCCACAUCUUCUUAUUGCAGAGUACACAAGCUGCAAAUAGCAAUGCCAUGUAAUGUUCACACUUGAUGAUUAACAUCUCUGAUGAAAAAAAAUCUUAGGAAACCUAACAAAAUUUCUAUUAGUCUUACAUUAGUCCAUAUCAGCUUGGACUACUUGCCAGUUUGUUAAUUGAUAUUCAGUCUGUUUCUGUGUACAGUUCAUACCAAAGACAAGUAGGUCUGAGUGUGACUUCGUGUUUACAACAACAUCUUAAAAGUGAAAAUAGGUAGUCAAAGAUCUCCAUUUGGAUGGAGUUUUGAAUCAGAGAGUUCUGUACAGUUUGCCACAAAGAAGAUUAUUUUUGUUUUCUACCAGAAAUCUUCUGCCCAUGAAAGCUGAGUUGGUGGACCUCUUACCUGAGGACAUUGACUGCCUCAGGACCAUAGCUGCACUUCCUUCUCUCUUAUUUUCAAAAAUGAGGUCUUAUGGAUAGGGCUGUCAGGUUUCUUACACAGAGCUAAGUUGGGGCUGUCUGCCUUUAAAAAAUCUAAAGGAAAGUCAAGAGCAGCACAUUCUUCUGCUCCAUUUUUAGUAGGCUAGUGGUUAAGGUCGUGGCACUUGUAACAAUUAAAUGUUGUUUCUGCCAGCCCAAGUUUUGAAAGGUGAUUUAGUGACUAGCUGAACACCAUACAUGCCAAGUUUAGUCUUUGAACAAAAAUAUCUAUGUAGAAAAUGUAUUUUAUGGGGAACAGGGAUCCCUUCAACUCCAAGGAGGCCUGCCCUGAGCAGGCUCCUUGGUGGCUGGGGAACACAUCGGUGGCGCAGGAGCAAACUCUGUUCUCAUGGCUGCUGGGGAGGAGGAGAGGGGAAAGCUGGGAAAACUCCACUGGGACUGCCCCCCAUGAAGUCCCACUGAAGCUCAUCAAAGCCCCUUGCAUACAGGGGCCAAUCCUGGGCUUGCAGGGAUGCUGUGGCUCUUGCUGUGUGAAGACAGCAGGAGCUGACACACAAACACAAUGAAUUUCUCACUCCUUCUGGGAGUAGGGCUUUUUUGUUCUGGUAUGUUUUUAAUCUGGGUUUAUUGUUUGGGGUUUUAUUAACCCAGGGAAAAGAUCUGUAAAAACCAGGAUUGCCUCCACAGGCUUGUGUCGUGAGUGUAAAGCAGCUGAAGCCAGGACAGUGGUCUUACCCUGUGGUUUGGGUGUUCUUCUGUUGGUGCUUUAUAUAGCUGUAUUUUUUAGUACCUCAUGCUUUGUCAUGUGAUUCAGCAGCAAUAAUUAGGCAGAAACUUGCUGUCCCUGCAGAUGCUAAGAUUACAGGAUGACAUACUCUCACCAGAUGACAGCACAAACUGGUAUUUUUAGAACAGCCCGCAUCAACUGGUCUCCCCAGUGCUUUCCUCCUUGGAUCAGCAGUGCACAGGUUUUGUUACAGAAUGAGUCUUUGCAAAUUGUCUUUCUCGUGUGAAUGAGCCAUAAUGAUUGUUUAGAGCUGCAGAUCAGUGUUGGUCCCUCGAUAUGUGGUUUGCCUGAUAGCUGGGCUGGUUACAGGUGGCUUUUCUUUGUUUAUUCCUUCCUUUGAGCCAGACUUUUAAAUAGCCCCCAUGAAAGCAUAUUUGCUUGAAGAAGUGCGUAAUAAGAGCUCCUUUUUAGAAACAUAGCGUCAUGCAGCUGAGGAAAGGACAGGAUCUUUUUUUCAUAGCAAUUGGGCACUCAGCCAGGUGAUGAACUGACAGCUGGAGAGGUUUAAGUCUUGUGUUGAUGACAGCCAAAAAACACAGGUACGGCAUAGGCAGUGGGAGUGCAUGUUUGAGUAGCACUGUGUGCCAAUAGCCAGCCUUUCUGUCCUGGCCUGGGGAAGGGGGAUGAAGGAAGGAGCCACCCUGGGCUCCUGGUGCCGAUGGUGAAGGAUUUCCAGCAGGAUGUACCCAUCAGCACAGUCCCCGAUCAAGUCCCUAGCGGUGUGUGGGGACGCUGACCCCGUUAAAUCAGAUACCUGUGGCUGGGUGGUGGGAAUGCCCCACUCUGCUCCAGUCUGCCGGAGCUGUUUAAUCAGCUUUUCCACUCAGAUUACUGCACAGGGUGGCAGUUAUUGGAGUCUGGCAGAGGGGACAUCUGCUGAGCACUAAUCGGACGGGGAUGCAGCUCUGCUAGUGGAAGCUGCUGUGCAGCCACGGCUGUCUGCCAUUACUCCAGGAAAAAGGCCACUUUUUCCAGAUGAUGCUGUGGAGAAUGCCUUGUGUUUAUGCACUUCUGCAGCUGAGCUCGAUGUCUUGCCCUUUGUUUUUCCCUCACACUGCCUACAUCUCCUGGCUUUUAUAGGUAAUUCCAUACACAUGUAGAUAAAAUCUGGUUUUGAGGUAGGACCUUUCCUCUCUUGCCUUUUCUGCCACUUGUAAGUCAUGAUAGAAGAUGUCCUGCCUUUUAUCAACACUGUAUUGGCCUCUCAUUUCCAACUUACUGCAGAGGAAAAUGAGAAGAUUCCAUAGCAGGGAGGAUGUUUUUAAAAUAGGCUUGGUACCUGGCAAAGGAAAUGAAGUUCUCUAUGGGCACAUUCAGAAUAACAGAUGCAUAGCAUGUUUCCGUAACACUGUAAACCCAUAAUUCAGGAUGUUUCUAGCCAUGCAGGUACCUUUCACUCCAAAAUGUGAUUUUUUCUUCAGAUUCAAAAAUGCAAGCAAAAUCCUUCUCUGGUCUUACACAGGUGCAGUAGUUACACAUCCUUUUGUGAUCCACAGUAGACAUCUCCUUCCCAGUGUUCCCGAGUGCCAAAGAAAGCACAGUUAUUCCAGCUGAUGGGCUUUACCCCUAACAAAAGAUGUAUUUUGCAAGUAUUUUUUGCCUUCUUCCUCUAAUCCAGCAGCAUCCUGCCUAAGAGUGGCUGUGUUGAACACCCGGGCUGAAGUCUCUCAUUCAAUGGCAGUGUCACCCAUAACUGGCAGGAUUUCCACCCUACUCCUCAGGCUCCUGAACAAAAUGCAGGGGAUAAAAUUAUCUAAAAGGUUGUCAAGUAAGAAACCUGAUGACUUUAUGGAGAGAAGUUGUCCUGUAUCUAAGCUCUCUUGUGUUGGCCAGGGCAGAGGAUUAAACCCAGCCAGAUGUGAUAGUUCUCAACAGCAAUUACGUAUCAACAGUGCUUGGGCUCGGCGUUUGCUUUUCACCUGUAAAAUGGCUAAAAGGGACCUUACCCACCUUUGUGGGUAAAAUGAGCUGCCCGGAGGAGUAGUGGAUUCUCCCAUGCUGGAAGUACUCCGUACGUGACAGGAUCCUAAAUAACCUAACCUAAGGUUCUGCCUUGAACAGCAAGUUGGACCAGAUGAUGCUGAUCUGUUCCCGCCUGGACUUUUCUAUGAUUCUGUAGACCAGUGGGAUAUCAGAAUAACCUGCUUAUAAAUAGUUGUGGCAGCUCACUACAGUUCUGGCCUUCUUUCCCAGGGAGCUGAUACAGGAUGAGAGAAUGAUCUGCUGUCUUAAGUUACAUAUACUUCCAAAAUACUUGGUUGUCUCCUAUAGUUUGCAGUGUUUCUUGGAAGAGCAGCAACAGAAGGAAAAGAGAGACUUUUGUACUUUACAUGCUUAUGCAGCUACAAGCACUGCAACAUUUUAGGUCCUGUAAGUCCUGGUCCUGUGCUGGCAUUCUUCCUCUUUCCAUCCUUCUCUCUUACCCUCUGCCCCCAGUUCUGAGCUGGGAAAGAUCUAUUUUUACAACUAGAAUUUAAAGAGAAAAAGUGAAGUUGCAACAUGCCUGAAAGUUCAGGAAAUAAAGCCACAUGAAGUUGACAACUCUUGUUUUUUGUCGUUGGGCUGUGUCCCCUGACCUCAGUGUUGUCCCUCAGCACAGGGCCAUCCGAGUGCAGUGUGUGCUAAGCCUGCAGGGUCUCACUGUGGCAUACCUGCUGUGGCAUUGAGAUUUCCAAUUUUUAUUGUGCUUGAAAUAAAAAUAUCAUUCUGUAAUUUUGUCACUGUAGAAAGACUGGCCACAGUAGUCAUCUUCCUUACUUGUUUUUAAACAAAUUCUGUUCAUUUUUUCAGUCUUUAGCUGUGAAACCUCAGGCAGAGUAUUAACUUGUAACCACACAAAAUCAAGUCUUGCUUUUUGAGCCUACCCCCCACUUUGGAGUAGAAGCUCUAUUGCUGGAGGCGAUGACAAAUCGAAGGGCAGAGGCACCAGAACAAAUGCACAUCUGUCACUAAAGGACAUGAGUUUCCUUGAAAAUGUUUGCAUCCCAAGUGUCUAGACAGUAAAAGUAGUUACUGGGAUUUCCUGUCCCUGGAGAGUUGUUGCCAAGUGGUACCCAGGGAGAACACUUGUUUUACACACCUCUAAAUGGUGAUAUUUUCCAAGAUGAGAUCCACUCAACAAGCCUUCCAGCCAAAUCAGGAGCCCCAUGUUAGGCUGCCAUACAGAGGAGCUGUGUGUUGGUAGUGCAGAUUCUCAUACCGUAAUUGUGUAAAGGAGCACACAGCUUUUCUUCCAACAGAAAACUUCAUGUGCUGAUUGCUGUGUUGGCUCACUGAUAAACCAGGGCACGUUAUCUAUGCCCCGCUCUGGGGAACAUCACUGUGUCACCCUUCUGUCCUGAAGAAAUUUCCAGUGCUGCAUAAUUGGCACCAUUUGGAAUCAAAGGGAGAAAGCAGUAGGUGGCAGAUGAUUCUUCAGAGCUGCUCUGAUGGUGCUCAAGCUGGCAUGGGGCUUGGGAGAUGGCCAUCAGGUUAAGUGGUGGAAUGAUGUGAGACAGAGGUGAAGAAAUGUUGUUGCUGGAGGGAAAUCAAAACCAGUCAGCUUGGCCACAGAGUAAAGUGAGAGUAGCAUUUGUAACUGGUCAGUAGCAAGGUAGAGGAUGGGAGGGCAGAGAAUCGGGCAGAAGGAGGGGACGUCUCAUCUCCUGCGUGGCUGUUUGCAAAGCUUUUAGCAGGGCCUGUUGCAGUAGGACAAGGGAUAAUGGUUUUAAACCAGAAGAGGGUAGAUUUAGAUAAAAUAUAAGGAAGUUUUUUACAAUGAGGGCGGUAAAACACAGCAGGUUGCCCAGUGAGGUGGUGGAUGACCCAUCCUUGGAAGUGUUCAAGGCCAGGUUGGAUGGGGCUCUGAGCAACCUGAUGUAGUUGAAGAUGUUCUUGCUCACUUCAGGGGGAUUGGACUAGACAGUCUUUAAGGUCCCUUCCAGCCCAAAUCCUUCUAUGGUUCUGUGGCAAAUGGAGAUGUACUUGCUUCCCUGCCUUGAUAGAGUUUUCAUUGCUAUGGGGCAGCAGGCUGCUAACUCAAGGUAAACAGAGGCUUUUUGUGGUGAGACAAAAAGCAAGACUGUGGGUCUAUUACAGACUUAAACAAGGUCAUUUGAAGGCAGGCGGGUUAAGACUUUGAUCUACCUCUUUGCAAUUUUCAGUCCAUUUCCAAAGGCCAGGUAAGCACAGCUGUGAAAAUGGAGCAUGGUUUGGUUCUGCUAUAUAUUGGUUCUCAGCUGUGCAUCUCUCUCCAAAAUGUUGGCACUGCCUGAAGUACAGGUCCCUCAAGAAAAAAUAUCGGGCAGUGGCACUUCCGCAAAAGAUGCUAGUCUUCAUCCAUCCUCCAGUUUUUUUCUUGUCACUUGGUUUCAUAGAAUAAUAUUUCACAUAGAUUUUUAAUUUAAGUGUUUAGCAAUAAUCUGGUACCUUAUUGGGAGUUUCUGUACUCUUUUACUUUUAAUCAAUAGCUUUAUUCAAAGUCAGCAGGACUUCUCACACGUGCCACAGUUAAGCCCACGCGCAGCAUAACUGGCAGAUGCCUGAGAGGGAGCCGUCUUGCUGGGCUGUGGCGUUUGGGACCCGCCUUGCCUUCACAGGAUGUUGCACUUCGGGAAGUCGCUCACUUCCAGCCCCCUCUGGUGCUCAGGCUUUACGAAGUAGAGAAGUGGGCUUGCACUUGUUUGAGCUGCAUGCGAGCCACUAGCCAGGUUUUACUGGGGGCUACCAGGCCUGUCUGGGUAUCUUCUGCUGACUUUGUUAUGGCUAUCGGGGCUCACCAAAUGGAGUCAUUGCCAGGCAGUCACAUUAACGAACAGCCAGCAUUAAUUUGCCCUUUGAAAAUAAAGAAAUCAAUAUGUUGAUCCAGUCGGAAAUCCCUUUAUUCACAAAACAGUCUACCCCAAACCCCUCCACAUAAUUAAGGCUAAAGCCAAAUUUUGUUUGGGUGAAAUGCACAAUCUGUCUGCUCCCUAAGCUGUGCUGAAUGAAGUUCUCCCCUAAUGGUGCAGGGAGCAGCUGUCACGCUGUUGCUCUAAUAACCAUGAGACAAAAUGAUUAAAUUUCCAUCAAUCAUUUAGCAUUAUCAGAAUAGGUCAUUUUAAUAAAUUGUUAUCAUAGGAUCAGUGCCUGGCACCUUAGACAGGAGACAGUCUUUGAGUGAUCCUCCUUGCAGGAGAUGCCCGUCUUGAUUAAACCAGCAGUUCCACUAAAUCCGCCAUUUUUUGUGAGGGUGCCUGCUAGCAGGGUCUUUUGGAAGUAAAGACAUUCCUGUAAUCAGCUCAAUGGCUUUUUGGUUUCAACCAGUGUCCCCUUGUUCUUGCACUGUAUAAAAAAUCAUCAAUCUUUCUUCUUGGGGAAAAUCCUCAAAAGGUAGUAAGUGGUGUGAGGGGACUAAGCCCUGUUUUCAGAAGCCAUUUCAGAGCCAGAAGCCACACGCCCAGCAACAUGGAUGUCUACUGAGUGGACUUUCUGAAGAUGUGAGAGGAUUCUAUGGGAAUGUUUAAAUGCCCUCAAACUGACACGAGAUGUAGAGAGAGAACCCUUUGCCAAAUCUGCUGUCAGCAAGUGGACAGUGAUACUGUUUACAGCUUACGACCUUUGUGAACCCUGCAUUAUUUUCCUAAUGAAGCAGACUGUUAAUAGGCCCCUUACUGGAGUGAAGAACCUACUUUUUUUCCCUCCCUCCCUCCCUCUUUUUUUUUUUUUUUCCCCUCUUUUUGUUGGAAAUUGAACUCAUUCUGAAGUAUGCAAAAUCUUCCUUUUCUGGGAUGGCCAAGCACCUGCUGUGGAGACAAUGUUCAGCACCAUCCUGUUGAGAACACACUGUGUAGCCUUUACAGUAGUUACUUGUCAAUGAGUAUGUGGUGUUUCAAUAUAUUAAUGGUUUAUGGGAUAUUUUAAGUUGGCUUUUCUUUUUGGAGGUUUUCCCUAUCUGCCCACCCUCCCCCGUACAACCUCCAGUUUGAUUUCCAUAGAUUUUUAACCAUUUUUACUUUCUCUCCCUGGGGAAUCUGAGGCACUGUGCACAGGCAAGGAAAUGACCGUAACCCAGCACUGCUCAGGUGUCAGGGUUUUCUUAAUAUACAGCGUUUGUUAGUCCUAUCAACUGUCUGAAUUCCAGAGAGGGGAUGUGCGUGGUCUGUUUGUUUGUUGGGUUGGUUGGUUGGUUUCUUUCUUACUCUUCCUUAAAUUUAAUGGUACACCCCUGUUUUCCAUAAGGGUCAACCCAGGGUUGGUUGCAGAACAAGGGAAGCCGGCGAGUUUGCCUCUUGGCUCAUGAGGACAGACUGACAGCGGGUGCCAUUGCCCUCACAUGCACCGAGGCAGGAGCCCCUUUCUUCCCCACUGGAGCAGGCUCCCCUCCUGCCUUAGGUUAGCAAAGCUUCCCCCGUUGCCGCAGUGAGCUGGUAAGGAGUUAUGGGCUGGGCUGCCACACAAGGUGAACAUAGUCACGUGCAGAGAUGUGUUUGAAAAUGCAGAAAUUAAGGGAAACCUAGUGGCUGGGCAUCGGCAGGUGACUUGCAGUGACAAUGCCAGGAGCUGAGGCACAGGUCACUGCAGUGUGUAUUACGGCUUCAGUGAUCCUGUUUAUUUUUGUUGUUGUUGUUUUGGACAUAUCCUUGAUGAUUUUUUCCUUCUCAUUAUGUAUAAUCCAUUGUGGCAGAAGAAGCAGGAGUGGGAAUGGCAAGGUCACAGUAUCAUACAAAUGGCUUUUCAUAUGAGCGUAGAUUGUAGCAGGAUAAACGACACUGAAAGACAAGGCAGUUUCAUAUAUUUUGCUUCUAAGAUUUUCUCUUGUAAAAUGAAUAAUAAUUAAUAAUAAUAAUGAAUAAAAGGUAUGGUGCUGUAUAGAUCCUCUCUAUAAUCUGGAAAGUUUGAUUACUUUUUAUUUGUAUCUUGGGGGGGAGGGAUACAAAAAAAGAGGGGAAAACACCAGUGGUACAUAGGAACUCGGUAUGAAGAGGUUCUGAAUAGGACAGUGUAUACAUAAUUCUCCAAAGCGAUAUAUGAAGUUUUUUUUCCAUUGCAUAAAAGCAUUAUGCAUAUAAAUAUAUAAAUAUAUUUUAUUAUGUACAGAAAUGGAUCAUUAUGCAUGGAUGUUAGGAAAACAAAACUAGCAUUUUAACCCAAAGUCUCAGUGCAUGAGUUCCCACCAACCUGUGUCCCAUGCAAUGUGGAGUGACUCCCUCUUGCCACUGCCACUGCACAUGCACAGUCAUGCACCAACACACACAUGCAUUCGUGGGCCCUUCCUCACUCCUUACUUUGCAGGUCCCUGAGGUGAUUUUGGUGAAACAACAGCUCCUAAUGUGAUGGAAAUUUUGGUUUUGUAGCGUAGCCCCCAUGCUGUUCCCUCAUAAAGAUGCACCUCUUGGUUUCUCCUCCCAGUUAUGACUGUGUAGGCUCUGUGCAGUUGUGGUUAGCAUAACCCUGUAGCAUAUCAACUCUUCCAAGCAGCCAAGGGUUUAUCAUUUGCCUUUUAUAAAAACUUCUCUUUUCUUUUUACACUGAGGGGUUCUACUUGUCGGCAUGUGGCCUAGUUCAUUGCAUUCACUGGAGCUGGGUGGUGCGCAUUGCCCGUGUCUGUCAGCAGCCAUCUUCCCAGGAUGCUUGUGGCACAGCUGGGCAUCUGGCUUACCCGAGUCCAGCUGCAGGCAUCUUUUGCUGAAAUUGGUCAAGAGUUCAUCACUGGCCUCCUCUGAGCAUGUGCCAUUAGCUCUUAGCUUCCUGGCACACCCCAAAAUGUGUGUGCAUGCUGAAGGACUUCCCUCUGGUGUUUCUUUCUCUGAGGCUUCUCUGCAGCUGCCACCCCGUGGCUGGACUUGUGCCCCAGCCCCACAUUUUGGCUGUCAGCAGAGCUCACUUGGUGGCUCCCUGUGCUGAGGUGCAGCUUUUGAUCCCUACAUGGAUGAGCCUCCAGUGAGACCCCUGGUGCUGCCCAAAGACCCACCAUCACUGACAGAUCCAGUAAGGCCUGACUCGAUGGUAUGGCCAAAGUGACCAAACCCCGUAAUUAAUUUUUUGUCUUGGUGCAAAUUCAGUUCUUGUCAAAGGCAAGGGAAGGCCUGUUGAAAGCUUAAAGCAAAUGCGGGGGCAAAUUCUGCUCUCUUCCAGCAACUGAACCUGCUUGGGUUCAGAGGAACUGCUUUCCACUGGCAGAAAUGAGAGACAAAACUAUGGCCCGCUCUGUUCAGAAAAUGGAGAAAAAACACUUGGUUUAAAAACAGCCCAUCAACGGCAGAGAAGUUUUUUUAAAAGAAGUAAUAAAAGCAUUAGUGGCUGACAGGCUUAACCUGCCUUCCAGCAAUGUCAAAGGGAGAAUUUCCAUUGGCGUGGCUGGGACAGCUUGGGCCCCUGCUUUGGGGAACAUCCUAGCACUCUAUAAAGAGGGAUGGACUUGGCCAGCCUCUUCAGUUUGGUUUGGUUUCUGUUGCUCAGUUUUGGGGUCAAAAUUUUCAAGCAGAAGUGCCUGCUGUCAGGCACCAAACAUCGGGGACUCCAGCAUGGUCGCAGGGGGCGAGCUGCUCUGCCCUCGUGGCUUCUUGAAGGAGGGGGAGAUGACAGGUCCCCCCAGGCCCAGGGGAAGGUCAUCACCCUCUACACCUGCUGAGGUGCCCAGCAAAGGUCCUCCACUCCAGAGGUGCUAAAUAAAUCUCCCUGAAUUCAAAGCGCCAGUUAUUUAGGUGUCAAAAUUAAGACUUGAAUAGCUAGUUUGGGGAACCUGCUUUUUGAAAAUUUGGCCUUUGAGUCUUUGAACAUGCUUAUGCCUGGAAGUUUUCCUUGUGAAAUCAUGUGAAACAGAUGAAGGUCAAGGUCACAAUUACAUGGUUAUCAUUUGAACACUUGGUCUAAACAAAAGGUCCAAAAAGGUGUUAUUUAUGCAGUUUCUAGUCACAGGUUGGGGCUUGAUUUAAUGAUUUUGUAAAAAAAAAUUUCUCUUAAGAGUAAUUGCAUAGUUAAACACUGCUUUACUCCAGAAAUUUUUGUGCCACUGCUUAAAAAAGUUACCUUUUAGGUCAUGUAUUUCUCUAAAAUUAUAUCAUUGCUUGGCAAUUGGUGUCCUGUAAUUGUUUCAAGUACACAAUAUACCUUUGGAAUUGCCAACAGAUGCGAAGGGGGACCAGAUACAUUUCGUAACUAUGGGUUGGAAAAAAUGGAUUGUACAUUUGGCUUCACAUGUUUAACUUUUUUUUUAAAAAGUUGCAUGAUUGGAAAAAAUAUGUAUACAGUAUCUGUAAAACUGUUUUAUCUGUUUCUGUUUCAAGCCAUGUAAAUUGGAAGAAUAUUAAAUCCACAGCCUUAUCGCGCAUGGCCGUCUUUACAUACCGAAGAGCUGAACAGUUUAUACUUUUCAUUUGGGCUACCUUGUACUUUCAUUUGAAAGCAGAUACUCUCACGUUGCAGUCUUACUGAGGAUUUUAUAUUAAAAAAAAAAAAAACAAAAAAAGAAAAAAGAUGCUGCCCUGGAGGAAUAUGUUACCUUACUACUCAGAGGUUGGAAGGAAGUUUGUUUUGGAGCAAAACCUGCCCCUUUCCAAAUGAAGUAGAGACGCAGUGCUUACUCCACUCGGUGUUAGUAGAUAUUGCCUUGUGUAUUCCAUUUUAAAUUGUAAUCUAGUUUGUAAAAGAGAUGGUGACGCAUGUAAAUAAAGCAUAAUGGAUCUCUACAUUGCA